rnacentral:rRNA from 1 species
GACGAACGCUGGCGGCGUGCUUAACACAUGCAAGUCGAACGCUGAAGCCCAGCUUGCUGGGUGGAUGAGUGGCGAACGGGUGAGUAACACGUGAGUAACCUGCCCCCUUCUUUGGGAUAACGCCCGGAAACGGGUGCUAAUACUGGAUAUUCACUGAUCUUCGCAUGGGGGUUGGUGGAAAGGUUUUUUCUGGUGGGGGAUGGGCUCGCGGCCUAUCAGCUUGUUGGUGGGGUGAUGGCCUACCAAGGCUUUGACGGGUAGCCGGCCUGAGAGGGUGACCGGUCACAUUGGGACUGAGAUACGGCCCAGACUCCUACGGGAGGCAGCAGUGGGGAAUAUUGCACAAUGGGCGAAAGCCUGAUGCAGCGACGCCGCGUGAGGGAUGACGGCCUUCGGGUUGUAAACCUCUUUCGCUCAUGGUCAAGCCGCAGCUUUGGGUUGUGGUGAGGGUAGUGGGUAAAGAAGCGCCGGCUAACUACGUGCCAGCAGCCGCGGUAAUACGUAGGGCGCGAGCGUUGUCCGGAAUUAUUGGGCGUAAAGGGCUUGUAGGCGGUUGGUCGCGUCUGCCGUGAAAUCCUCUGGCUUAACUGGGGGCGUGCGGUGGGUACGGGCUGACUUGAGUGCGGUAGGGGAGACUGGAACUCCUGGUGUAGCGGUGGAAUGCGCAGAUAUCAGGAAGAACACCGGUGGCGAGGGCGGGUCUCUGGGCCGUUACUGACGCUGAGGAGCGAAAGCGUGGGGAGCGAACAGG